UCUCUUUCACUUCACAACGUCAACGUGCUUCUCAUUUUGGACACACAGGAAGAGACACAGGAAGAGACACAGGAAGAGACACAGGAAGAGACACAGGAAGAGACACAGGAAGAGACACAGGAAGAGACACAGGAAAACACACAGGAAGAGACACAGGAACACACACAGGAAGAGACACAGGAACACACACAGGGAGAGACACAGGAAGAGACACAGGAAGAGACACAGGAAGAGACACAGGAAGAGACACAGGAAGAGACACAGGAAGAGACACAGGAAAACACACAGGAAGAGACACAGGAACACACACAGGAAGAGACACAGGAAGAGACACAGGAAGAGACACAGGAAGAGACACAGGAAAACACACAGGAAGAGACACAGGAACACACACAGGAAGAGACACAGGGAGAGACACAGGAAGAGACACAGGAAGAGACACAGGAAGAGACACAGGAAGAGACACAGGAAGAGACACAGGAAGAGACACAGGAAGAGACACAGGAACACACACAGGAAGAGACACAGGAACACACACAGGGAGAGACACAGGAAGAGACACAGGAAGAGACACAGGAAGACACACAGGAAGAGACACAGGAAGAGACACAGGAAGAGACACAGGAAGACACACAGGAAGAGACACAGGAACACACGCCUGACGGGACACGGGGAAUUAUAACACCAGUAUGGAGGGAUGAUGACCUGGCUAGCAGCUCAACCACACAGAAUUCAGGCUGUAAGAAGGUGACUAUCGGGUUUGAAUCCAUGACUCCAUGAUGAAUGCACAUGUCGUUAUGAGAGACGGGCGAGUGCUGUCAAGGGCUGAGUUCUUGUCAUUGCUGAACACGUACAACUGUUUUCUGAAAGACAAGACCCAGCAGCAUCUUGUCUUCUAUGAGAGAGAUGGAGAGGUGGUGUUCGAGGGAUUCCUG